UGGGGUGUAGCUCAGUGGUGGAGCGCUUACCUAGCAUGUGUGAGGCCCUGGUUUCCAUUCCCAGCACUACAA
rnacentral:tRNA from 1 species